rnacentral:rRNA from 1 species
GAUGAACUGUGGGUAGCGGAGAAAUUCCAAUCGAACCCGGAGAUAGCUGGUUCUCCCCGAAAUAGUUUUAGGACUAGCCUCAAGUUAGAUACCUGGAGGUAAAGCACUGAAUAGCCUAGCGGCCGAGAGGUUAGCGAAGCUUAUCAAACUCAGAAUGCCAGAGUAUUGAUGCUUGGGAGUCAGACAGUGUCAGAUAAAUGUCAUUGUCAAAAGGGAAACAGCCCAGAUCUACAGCUAAGGUCCCAAAGUCAGGUUAAGUGGAAAACGAUGUGAAGAUACGUAGACAACCAGGAUGUUGGCUCAGAAGCAGCCACACAUUCAAAGAGUGCGUAAUAGCUCACUGGUCGAGCGUCUUUGCGCGGAGAAUUUAACGGGGCUAAACCUGACACCGAAGCUUAGGCAAUACAGCAAUGUAUUGGGUAGGGGAGCGUUGUAUACGCGGUGAAACAGUAGCGCAAGCGGCUGUGGAGUGUAUAGAAGUGAGAAUGCCGGAAUGAGUAGCGCGAAUGCAGUGAGAAUCUGCAUGGCCGAAAGCCUCAGGUUUCUGGAGGAAGGUUCGUCCGCUCCAGGUUAGUCGGGAGCUAAGGUGAGGCCUAACGGCGUAGCCGAUGCACAGACGGUAGAGAUUCCGUCACCACCAAAAGAGUUAAGCACAGGGACACAUUUGAAGUCUCGGAGCCGGGUGUUGGUUCCGGUAGCGAUCGAGGGAAAUUAGUACCGAAGUCCGGGAUGGAAGAUGGCGAGAAAAGCUGUGUGUAUUUCUGCGGUGCCCGUACCGCAAACCGACACAGGUAGGUAGGAAGAAGAUUCUAAGGCCAACGGGAGAAGGGUUGUUAAGGAACUCGGCAAAUUGACCCCGUAACUUCGGGAGAAGGGGUGCUCCAGAGAUGGAGCCGCAGAGAAUCGGCCCAAGCAACUGUUUACCAAAAACACAGGUUUGUGCUAAAUCGAAAGAUGACGUAUACGAGCUGACGCCUGCCCGGUGCUGGAAGGUUAAGAGGAGAUGUGCAAGCAUUGAAUUGAAGCCCCAGUGAACGGCGGCCGUAACUAUAACGGUCCUAAGGUAGCGAAAUUCCUUGUCAGGUAAGUUCUGACCCGCACGAAAGGCGUAAUGAUCUGGACACUGUCUCAACAGCCCGCCCGGCGAAAUUGUAGUACCGGUGAAGAUGCCGGUUACCCGCGACAAGACGGAAAGACCCCAUGGAGCUUUACUGUAGCCUAAUAUUGGGUUUCGAUGUUGCAUGCACAGGAUAGAUGGGACACAGGGAAACAAUCGCUUUGGCGGUUGCGGAGUGGCCGUUGGGAUACCAUCCUUGCGAUAUUGGAAUUCUAACCUGCGGCUCUGAAUCGAGUCGGGGGACAUUGUUAGGUGGGCAGUUUGACUGGGGCGGUCGCCUCCUAAA